rnacentral:sRNA from 1 species
GCCAGGCACAGUGGCCCACACCUGUAAUCCCAGCAACUUGGGAGGCUGAGACAGGAGGAUAGCAAGGUCAAGGACAACCUCAGCAACUUAGUGAGACCCUGUCUCAA